rnacentral:rRNA from 1 species
AUUUAUGGGUAAAAGAUGGCUAUGCGUUCUAUUAGCUAGAUGGUAAGGUAACGGCUUACCAUGGCAACGAUAGAUAGGGGUCCUGAGAGGGAGAUCCCCCACACUGGUACUGAGACACGGACCAGACUCCUACGGGAGGCAGCAGUGAGGAAUAUUGGACAAUGGAGGCAACUCUGAUCCAGCCAUGCCGCGUGCAGGAAGACGGUCCUAUGGGUGGUAAACUGCUUUUAUAUAGGAAGAAACCUUUCCACGUGUGGAAAGCUGACGGUACUAUAAGAAUAAGCACCGGCUAACUCCGUGCCAGCAGCCGCGGUAAUACGUAGGGUGCAAGCGUUAUCCGGAUUUAUUGGGUUUAAAGGGUUCGCAGGCGGAAAAUUAAGUCAGUGGUGAAAGCCUACAGCUCAACUGUAGAACUGCCAUUGAUACUGAUUUUCUUGAGUAUAGUUGAAGUGGGCGGAAUGUGUCAUGUAGCGGUGAAAUGCAUAGAUAUGACACAGAACACCGAUAGUGAAGGCAGCUCACUAAACUAUUACUGACGCUCAUGAACGAAAGCAUGGGGAGCGAACAGGAUUAGAUACCCUGGUAGUCCAUGCCGUAAACUAUGAUCACUAGAUGUUGGCGAUAUAUUGUCAGUGUUUUAGAGAAAUCGAUAAGUAAUCCACCUGGGGAGUACGUUCGCAAGAAUGAAACUCAAAGGAAUUGACGGGGGCCCGCACAAGCGGUGGAGCAUGUGGUUUAAUUCGAUGAUACGCGAGGAACCUUACCAAGGCUUAAAUGUAAAACGACCGAUUUAGAGAUAGGCUUUUCUUCGGACAAUUUACAAGGUGCUGCAUGGUUGUCGUCAGCUCGUGCCGUGAGGUGUCGGGUUAAGCCCCAUAACGAGCGCAACCCCUAUCCUUGGUUGCCAGCAAUUUUAGGUGGGAACUCUAGGGAGACUGCCGGUGACAAACCGGAGGAAGGUGGGGACGACGUCAAGUCAUCAUGGCCCUUAUGGGCAGGGCUACACACGUGCUACAAUGGCGAAUACAAAGGGUUGCGAACCUGCGAAGGUAAGCCAAUCCCAUAAAGCUCGUCGUAGUCCGGAUCGGAGUCUGCAACUCGACUCCGUGAAGUCGGAAUCGCUAGUAAUCGCGAAUCAGAAUGUCGCGGUGAAUACGUUCCCGGGUCUUGUACACACCGCCCGUCACACCAUGGAAGUAGGUUGCACCAGAAGUAGGUAGCUUAACCCUCGGGAGAGCGCUUACCACGGUGUGGUCAAUGACUGGGGUGAAGUCGUAACAAGGUAACC